AACCAUCUGUGUGGUCAAGAAUUUAGAACUAUCUACAGUUAACUGGUAGGUACAGAGUCUCAUUCACAACUGUAGGCAAUGGCUGUUUCUCCUCCAGAACACAAACUGCCAGUAAUUCAUUAGGGAGGAUAAGGAUCCAGAAGUCCUUCCAGUAUCCAUGAUAAUCCAGGUUUGUGCAAGCCCAGCACAAGUACAGAUAUCUACUAUGAGACCAUGUUUACAACGCGGUGGCCAAUUACUCUUGUGGGACAUGAGGACCUUCACAGGACAUGGUAAACACUAGAUAAGGUCACAGUUCAUCUCCUGAGUCUGUUCCAUGGCCCUGAUCGAUCUGUAGCAGCUGAAUUCCAAUACAUUUUUGUCAUCUUCAUUGACCUGGUGCUUGAGUUAUAUUGGAUUUGUGUUGGGUUUAAGCAGACCUCACAACAAUUUACAUCUAAUACAUAAAGCCCGUGUAAGUUUUAGUAAUUCAGGUGGAGUCAGGGAAGUUUAUGGUCACUAAUCAUCCUCUCGUAUCUUUGGAAAUUAUCAUGUUGAGUCUUAGACUAGUGAUUCUCAACCUUCUGAGUGUUGCGAUUCUUUAAAACAUUCCUCAUGUUGUGAUGACCACCAGCCAACAAUUAGUUUUGUUGCUAGUUCAUCUCUGUAAUUUUGCUACUGUUAUGCAUCACAAUGUAAAUAUCUGUUUGUUUGUUUGUUUGUUUGUUUCUGAUGUUUGUAUCAUUUGACUCCCAGGUUGAGAUCCACUGGUCUACAUGAAAGAUGGAACUCCCUUAAUGUCUGAUACUUAUUUAGAGGAGAAAACGUCUAUCUCCAAAGCAAAUGUGGCCUACAACACUGUCACUUUGGAUACAUUUCAGGAAAAAUUCCUGAAGUACAUUCCUGAAGGUCAGAAGUUACUGGGAUAUUCAUAGAGUGAAAGAAGAGAAAAGAAAAUACCUGGAGGAAGGUUUCUUUCUGGAACUCCCCCUCCCUCCUAAAAUCUGAAAGCAGGAUGGAAUACAAUAAAAUAUAGAGUAUCCUGUUUGCAAAGACUCUGCUUAUAAUCUAAAACCAAAUUAACCAUUUAAGAAGUGAAACCUUUGAGAUUCCAGUAUCUUCCAUCAGUGUUCUGUAUCUCCUCUAUCAUUCUUCUGUCAUUCAGAUUCCCACAUCUAUGAACUGGUUCUUAUGGUCCACCCAAAGUCUCUUGUUUUUCCUCAAUAGAAUAUUCUUUUCUAGAAAUUGUGUUCCUCUAUAUAUGCUUUAAAUAAUGAGUGAAAGAUUAGAUUCUGGAUCCAAGUAUUGAUAUUUGAAUUUCACAACAGACUGGGUUAGCUAAUGGCAGAAGGCAAGAAAUGUAUUUCUUUAAUUGUGCAAGGCUUAUUCUGCCAUAUGCUUAUAGUAAGAGGUGUGUGUGUGUGUGUGUGUGUGUGUGUAGAUUCAAAAUACAUUUCUUAAAGUUGAAAAUAAAUAGCCUUUGACUAUUUGAUCAACCCCUCACAAUUUUAUAAAACUCUUCUGUGGCUAACCACAGUAAACAGAACCCCUCACCACUUUUGUAAGUUUUAUGGUAUAAAUCCCAAUAGUUAGACAGCUUUAGAAAGAAAUAAAAAGAGAGAAUUAGUUAAAUAGUGGAUUGAUCAAGUUCACAAACAGAUUCUUGCAGGAACUGUGGAUGUACAGGGUGGGUUAUCUUCCCCUUAAGGUAUUGACGAAUGCAAAUCACUCAAAUUCCUUGCCUCUGAUUCCCCAUUCACCUAGCAUUUCUAAAAUUAUCUUUUAUCAUCUAAUGUGUGUUCAUAAGAUUCAGAAUACUCUCAUCAUGUGAUCCUGGGUUAUUACAGUUUCUACUGUUGAUUAAUUAAUUGAUAACUUUGCAUGUUACCUUCUAGAAGCCUCAUUGAUAUAGACUAUCUAUUUAUUUCCAGAACUGAUAUAUUAGUUUUCUGAGUCUAUAUAACUAAAGGGCCAACCUUGAACUGGGGUGAAUUCAAUAAAGGGAAUGUCCUUCUAGUCUCUUGGAAGCCUGCCUGACUGUUUCUCUGGGGACAGUGUCACAACUCUGUGUUAUUUUCAAAUUCCACAGUUGCAAUUAGAAGAGAACUCAAAACAUAAAAAUGUGGGGUUUUUUUUUUUGUUGUUGUUUGUUUGUUUUGUUUGUUUGUUUUGUAGAGCAUUUGUUUCCUUCCUGAUCAAUGUGCAGAAUAUGUUUUUUAAACCAAUCUUUAUUUUUUCCUUAUGUUUUUCUUCUAAAUUUUAAUGAACACAACCUGUAAAGUUAAUCAAGGUUAAUUUAUUUAUUUCUACCAAAUGUGCUAGAAAUUGGGAGAGGAAUCAGCAAGGUUCAGUUAAUAUUGGCAAGAACGAGAGGAGAAGGACAUCAUCACAUUUAAUCACAUUUCAUCAUCACAUUUAAUAUUUUACAGGCUUCUUACCAUCUUCAUUAAACAUGUUUGAUGCUGUUUAUGCUGAUGCCAAAGGAGGUUAAACACAACUUAAGUAUGUUGUUAAUUUGUAAGAAUGUUU